UCUAAUACCGGAUAACACUUCCACUCGCAUGGGUGGAGGUUAAAAGCUCCGGCGGUGAAGGAUGAGCCCGCGGCCUAUCAGCUUGUUGGUGAGGUAAUGGCUCACCAAGGCGACGACGGG
rnacentral:rRNA from 1 species